CGCCGUUGCCGGCGACCGGCGCACGGGUGAGUAACACGUAUGCAACCUGCCCGUGGCAGGGGGAUAAGCGGGGGAAACCCCGUCUAAUACCGCGUAACGCGGCCUUGGGGCAUCCCAAGGCCGCCAAAGGGAGCAAUCCCGGCCACGGAUGGGCAUGCGGCGCAUUAGCUAGUCGGCGGGGUAACGGCCCACCGAGGCGACGAUGCGUAGGGGUUCUGAGAGGAAGGCCCCCCACACUGGUACUGAGACACGGACCAGACUCCUACGGGAGGCAGCAG
rnacentral:rRNA from 1 species